AAGUCGUAACAAGGUUUCCGUAGGUGAACCUGCGGAAGGAUCAUUAUUGAGAUAUAAAGGUUAUUGGAGCAAACAAAUGUUUUUUGCUGGUCUUUCUAUGGAAGACAUGUGCACUUUUUUGCGACUUGACCGAUUUAUUAUCCACCUGUGCACUUUUUGUAGAUGCUUUCUUGUUGGUCAACUUGGACUUAUGGUGUGAGUUGAUCUGACAGAGGCUUCUAUGUCUUUACAAAACUAUUUCAAGUAUGUUUAAGAAUGUCGUUGUAUUGGGACUUCAUUGACCCUUUAAAACUUAUACAA
rnacentral:misc_RNA from 1 species